GAUAAAGAAGAGCUUCAUUUUUCAACCACACCCAACAAGUUCCCAAAAAGACAUUGCAAGGCCAUGUUGCGCGGUGCACCUUCUUUUUCAAUAUUUAAUGUGAAUGAUGUGCUAGGAGAUCAAGAAAAUAGGGGAGGAGAUGUAGGAAGAGAACAAGAGGACUUGAUGAGAACAAUUACUAUUGGAGGGAGUAUAGAAGCUAAAGGCAGUGGAGAGUUCUGUUUUGGAAAGAAGAACAUGGGGCUGAUAGAGGAGGAAGGAGACGAAGGUUUAAAUGGGAUUGAAAAUUUGAACCUCGAAGAAGCAAACGAACCAGUUAGUCCUCCCCUGUAUCUUGCUUCAUGGAUCAGGAUUGAUGGCAAUGGUUUUGGUAGUGGCAAUGACGGUGGCGGUUUUGAUUUAACUUUGCCAAACUUUGAUGAAAAUGGUGCUGCCAACCCCUGUUUCAAGCAAAUUACUCUCAGCUUUUGCAGAUCGGCUGGUGAUCCCCAGUUAUGCAAUGAUUAAUCUUUUCAUGGUCAAUCAAUAACGAGCAACAAUCUUAUUGUUGUUGAUUUUGUAAUCUAGUUUUUGGCUAAUUGGAACAGCCCCAGGCAGAUCGCAGAGAAUUUCUGGGGAUUAGGGAAUUUAGGAUGUUGUUAGUAUUGUGUGUCUUGCAUUUUUGGGAUGAGAAUUUAGAUCUUAUGAGAACAAAAAGGAAAGAAGUGUUUUCAUUCUAAAAUGGGGUAUUUUGCCUUCCAAUAUAAAAGUCUAAGGGUGAUCAUGGAGCUGAGGACUAUCAUUGCAUCACACUCGCAGAUCCUGAAGACGGUGGAGUCUCGUUGAAGUAUGCUAAAAUAGAGUGGCAGCUUCACCAUGAUCAAGGUAGAGCUUUAAGUAAAUUUGAAGGUGCUGUUCAGGCUGCCCCUCAACAUAGGUGAGCAUUAGCAGUUGCCCAUCAAUUCCUGCAAAUCAAAUUUUGUGGAACUACUGAUGCUUCUUCAUUAACUCCAUUUCUUUUUCACUGGAUUGUUUGAGGACUAAUCCAUGAAUGAGGCAACAGGGCAACUGAGUUGUUUUUAACAAGUAUAAUAUUUAAAAUUUUUUUCCCAUUUCAGCCAUGUUCUUGGGGGCUUGGGGCAUAUGCUAGUUUUCUCUGGGAAAUAGAUGAUGAUGGUGAAGAAGAUACAAUGCAAGCAAAGCAUAUUCAGGUGCUACAAUUCUCUGAUCAAUUAUAUGGCUUUUGUGAAUGUUUCACUGCACGCAGGGGUUCUAAUGGCUUCAAAAUUUGUCAUAGGUUGAUCAAGAUGAAAAUCUAACUAUGGUUGGCAACUCGAUCACCAAUCAAGAUUGUAAGGCAUUACAGGUUCCACCUAGGCUUACAAUUGAUGUGGGAGAUCAUGCUACAUCUGAUGUUGACAAAGGCAACAAUGUUGAGGAGUAUUACAGGAGGAUGGUUGGGGAAAAUCCUUCCAGCUCUUUGGUGUUAAGAAAUUAUGCUCAAUUUCGACAUCAGGCCUGGUGAGAUAGAGAUGUGGACAAAGUGCAAUAAAUACUGUGCUUCUUUGAGUGUGUUGGUGUUGUUGACCUCUUUUACGUAUGCUUCUAUUAGAUUGGCCCUCUGUGAAUUGCCUUUGAUGCUUUGUUAUUCUUGAACGUAAACACUGUUUCUGACCGGCAGUGGAAAAGGGAGACCUUCUAGGUGCUGAAGAAUACUACUUGCGCGCUGUAGUAGCUGAUCCUGGAGAUGGUGAAAUCAUGUCACUGUAUGCAAAGUUGGUUUGUGAACUUCACCAGGACCAUGAUAAAGCCUCAAGUUACUUUGAGAGAGCAGUUCAAGCUACUCCUGAGGAUAGGGGAGUAUUAUUCAUCUGGACACAUGAUUGCUUCAUAAGCGGUUUUUCAGUUAAUGUUAAGGCUAAUCAUGACUGAUUCUUUGCCUGUUGUUUCUUAUUUGUUUCUGGCCAUGUUCUUGCAGCAUAUGCUGAUCAAUUUCACCAUGAAGGUUCUGACAAGGAUUAAAGAGCAGUCGCAACCUAAUUUUUUACUCAACGGUAAAUAUGAAACUGAUAUAACCAACAACUGUAUCAAUUACAAGGCUGAAGAAUUCCCACUGAGCUUUCAGCUGCUCUAAUCAGUUUCCUAUACUGCAUAAGUGACCUCUGAUUAGAUAGUUCAGUCCAUGAAUUAAAGAUCUAAAUCAUGUGUUCCAAUAAGUGUAGCCAUGUAGAGUUAAAUACCGUUCCUUUAUUAUUAUUAUUAUUA
rnacentral:misc_RNA from 1 species